rnacentral:rRNA from 1 species
GGCCGUUACUGACGCUGAGGAGCGAAAGCGUGGGGAGCGAACAGGAUUAGAUACCCUGGUAGUCCACGCCGUAAACGGUGGAUGCUGGAUGUGGGGCCCGUUCCACGGGUUCCGUGUCGGAGCUAACGCGUUAAGCAUCCCGCCUGGGGAGUACGGCCGCAAGGCUAAAACUCAAAGAAAUUGACGGGGGCCCGCACAAGCGGCGGAGCAUGCGGAUUAAUUCGAUGCAACGCGAAGAACCUUACCUGGGCUUGACAUGUUCCCGACGGUCGUAGAGAUACGGCUUCCCUUCGGGGCGGGUUCACAGGUGGUGCAUGGUCGUCGUCAGCUCGUGUCGUGAGAUGUUGGGUUAAGUCCCGCAACGAGCGCAACCCUUGCCCCGUGUUGCCAGCGGAUUAUGCCGGGAACUCACGGGGGACCGCCGGGGUUAACUCGGAGGAAGGUGGGGAUGACGUCAGAUCAUCAUGCCCCUUACGUCCAGGGCUUCACGCAUGCUACAAUGGCCGGUACAACGGGAUGCGACGCGGCGACGCGGAGCGGAUCCCUGAAAACCGGUCUCAGUUCGGAUCGCAGUCUGCAACUCGACUGCGUGAAGGCGGAGUCGCUAGUAAUCGCGAAUCAGCAACGUCGCGGUGAAUGCGUUCCCGGGCCUUGUACACACCGCCCGUCAAGUCAUGAAAGUGGGCAGCACCCGAAGCCGGUGGCCUAACCCCUUGUGGGAUGGAGCCGUCUAAGGUGAGGCUCGUGAUUGGGACUAAGUCGUAACAAGGUAGCCGUACCGGAAGGUGCGGCUG